UGACUGCGUACCUUUUGUAUAAUGGGUCAGCGACUUAUAUUCUGUAGCAAGGUUAACCGAAUAGGGGAGCCGGAGGGAAACCGAGUCUUAACCGGGCGUUAAGUUGCAGGGUAUAGACCCGAAACCCGGUGAUCUAGCCAUGGGCAGGUUGAAGGUUGGGUAACACUAACUGGAGGACCGAACCGACUAAUGUUGAAAAAUUAGCGGAUGACCUGUGGCUGGGGGUGAAAGGCCAAUCAAACCGGGAGAUAGCUGGUUCUCCCCGAAAGCUAUUUAGGUAGCGCCUCGUGAAUUCAUCUCCGGGGGUAGAGCACUGUUUCGGCCAGGGGGCCAUCCCGGCUUACCAACCCGAUGCAAACUGCGAAUACCGGAGAAUGUUAUCACGGGAGACACACGGCGGGUGCUAACGUCCGUCGUGAAGAGGGAAACAACCCAGACCGCCAGCUAAGGUCCCAAAGUCAUGGUUAAGUGGGAAACGAUGUGGGAAGGCCCAGACAGCCAGGAUGUUGGCUUAGAAGCAGCCAUCAUUUAAAGAAAGCGUAAUAGCUCACUGGUCGAGUCGGCCUGCGCGGAAGAUGUAACGGGGCUAAACCAUGCACCGAAGCUGCGGCAGCGAACGUAUCACCCAAGACAACUUUGCACAGUUGACGAUUGACGGAGCGAAGCGACGUCAAAGCGUUUUACAACGUCGAGUUGGCUUAGGGAUACGUUCGUUGGGUAGGGGAGCGUUCUGUAAGCCUGUGAAGGUGUGUCGUGAGGCAUGCUGGAGGUAUCAGAAGUGCGAAUGCUGACAUAAGUAACGAUAAAGCGGGUGAAAAGCCCGCUCGCCGGAAGACCAAGGGUUCCUGUCCAACGUUAAUCGGGGCAGGGUGAGUCGACCCCUAAGGCGAGGCCGAAAGGCGUAGUCGAUGGGAAACGGGUUAAUAUUCCCGUACUUGGUGUUACUGCGAAGGGGGGACGGAGAAGGCUAUGUUGGCCGGGCGACGGUUGUCCCGGUUUAAGCGUGUAGGCUGGUUUUCCAGGCAAAUCCGGAAAAUCAAGGCUGAGGCGUGACGACGAGGCACUACGGUGCUGAAGCAACAAAUGCCCUGCUUCCAGGAAAAGCCUCUAAGCAUCAGGUAACAUCAAAUCGUACCCCAAACCGACACAGGUGGUCAGGUAGAGAAUACCAAGGCGCUUGAGAGAACUCGGGUGAAGGAACUAGGCAAAAUGGUGCCGUAACUUCGGGAGAAGGCACGCUGACACGUAGGUGAAGUGAUUUACUCAUGGAGCUGAAGUCAGUCGAAGAUACCAGCUGGCUGCAACUGUUUAUUAAAAACACAGCACUGUGCAAACACGAAAGUGGACGUAUACGGUGUGACGCCUGCCCGGUGCCGGAAGGUUAAUUGAUGGGGUCAGCGCAAGCGAAGCUCCUGAUCGAAGCCCCGGUAAACGGCGGCCGUAACUAUAACGGUCCUAAGGUAGCGAAAUUCCUUGUCGGGUAAGUUCCGACCUGCACGAAUGGCGUAAUGAUGGCCAGGCUGUCUCCACCCGAGACUCAGUGAAAUUGAACUCGCUGUGAAGAUGCAGUGUACCCGCGGCAAGACGGAAAGACCCCGUGAACCUUUACUAUAGCUUGACACUGAACAUUGAGCCUUGAUGUGUAGGAUAGGUGGGAGGCUUUGAAGCGUGGACGCCAGUCUGCGUGGAGCCGGCCUUGAAAUACCACCCUUUAAUGUUUGAUGUUCUAACGUGGACCCGUAAUCCGGGUUGCGGACAGUGUCUGGUGGGUAGUUUGACUGGGGCGGUCUCCUCCUAAAGAGUAACGGAGGAGCACGAAGGUUGGCUAAUCCUGGUCGGACAUCAGGAGGUUAGUGCAAUGGCAUAAGCCAGCUUGACUGCGAGCGUGACGGCGCGAGCAGGUGCGAAAGCAGGUCAUAGUGAUCCGGUGGUUCUGAAUGGAAGGGCCAUCGCUCAACGGAUAAAAGGUACUCCGGGGAUAACAGGCUGAUACCGCCCAAGAGUUCAUAUCGACGGCGGUGUUUGGCACCUCGAUGUCGGCUCAUCACAUCCUGGGGCUGAAGUAGGUCCCAAGGGUAUGGCUGUUCGCCAUUUAAAGUGGUACGCGAGCUGGGUUUAGAACGUCGUGAGACAGUUCGGUCCCUAUCUGCCGUGGGCGCUGGAGAACUGAGGGGGGCUGCUCCUAGUACGAGAGGACCGGAGUGGACGCAUCACUGGUGUUCGGGUUGUCAUGCCAAUGGCACUGCCCGGUAGCUAAAUGCGGAAGAGAUAAGUGCUGAAAGCAUCUAAGCACGAAACUUGCCCCGAGAUGAGUUCU
rnacentral:rRNA from 1 species